UUCAACGGCCGCGGUAUCCUAACCGUGCGAAGGUAGCGUAAUCACUUGUUCUUUAAAUGGGGACUAGUAUGAAUGGCAUCACGAGGGUUGAACUGUCUCCUUUCUCUAAUCAGUGAAACUAAUCUCCCCGUGAAGAAGCGGGAAUUAUUUUAUAAGACGAGAAGACCCUAUGGAGCUUAAAACAAAUUGACAUCUGCUUCCACCUACUUCAACUCCUGAGCAAAUAUACAAAAUAUAGCAUCAUUGAUCAAUAGUUUUAGAUUGGGGUGAUCAUGGAGUAAAAAAUAACCUCCACGACGAAAAGAAUAUCCUGAGCCAAAAGCCACAACUUUAAGCACUAAAAAAUUAACGCAUCUUGACCCAAUUUUUUGAGCAACGAACCAAGUUACCCUAGGGAUAACAGCGCAAUCCACUUCAAGAGCCCCUAUCGACAAGUGGGCUUACGACCUCGAUGUUGGAUCA
rnacentral:rRNA from 1 species